ensembl:misc_RNA 7SK 7SK RNA
GGAUGUGAGGUCAUCUGGCUGCGACAUCUGUCAGCCCAUUGAUCACCAGGGUUGAUUCGGCUGAUCUGGCUGGCUAGGCGGGUGUCCUCUGCCUCCCUCACGGCUCCAUGUGUGUCCCUCCCGAAGCUGUGUGCUCCGUUGAAGAAGCUGGCCUUCCCUGAAUAGAGACUGACCAGUCUUCGGUCGAGAGUAUAGAAGUAGAUGUACUGCCCUGCUAAAACCUCCAGACAAGCUCUCAAGGUCCAGAUAGCAGAGAUAGUAAUAAAUUAAAACAAUAUAUUUGCAAGUGGUAAGUAAACU